rnacentral:tRNA from 1 species
UAUUCAAAUAGCUUAUAAUUAGAGUAUGACACUGAAGAUGUUAGGGAGGUAAAUUUAUCUUUGAAUA